rnacentral:rRNA from 1 species
CCUACGGGAGGCAGCAGUGAGGAAUAUUGCGCAAUGGGGGCAACCCUGACGCAGCGACGCCGCGUGGGUGAGGAAGGUUUUCGGGUCGUAAAGCUCUGUCAAGUGGGAAGAACCUGCUCUGUAAUAACACCAUGGGGCACCGACGGUACCACUGAAGGAAGCACCGGCUAACUCCGUGCCAGCAGCCGCGGUAAU